CGGGUUGUCAUGCCAAUGGCACUGCCCGGUAGCUAAAUGCGGAAGAGAUAAGUGCUGAAAGCAUCUAAGCACGAAACUUGCCCCGAGAUGAGUUCUCCCUGAGACUUUAAGUCUCCUGAAGGAACGUUAAAGACGAUGACGUUGAUAGGCCGGGUGUGUAAGCGCAGCGAUGCGUUGAGCUAACCGGUACUAAUGAACCGUGAGGCUUAACCUUACAACGCCGAAG
rnacentral:rRNA from 1 species